rnacentral:pre_miRNA from 1 species
UCUCAGACUGGACUCUAUAGUCUUGGUCGUCAACAAGUCUCACUCUAUAGUCUUGGUCCAAUCUGAGACUUGUUGACGACCAAGUCUAUAGAGUCCAGUCUGAGACUUG